rnacentral:rRNA from 1 species
UGGGGAAUCUUGCGCAAUGGGCGAAAGCCUGACGCAGCAACGCCGCGUGGGGGAUGACGGCCUUCGGGUUGUAAGCCUCUUUCGACCGGGACGAAGGAUUCGUUUGACGGUACCGGUAGAAGAAGCGCCGGCUAACUACGUGCCAGCAGCCGCGGUAAUACGUAGGGUGCGAGCGUUGUCCGGAAUUAUUGGGCGUAAAGGGCGCGUAGGCGGCCUGGUAAGUUUGGAGUGAAAGUCCUAUUUUUAAGGUGGGAAUCGCUUUGAAAACUGCUGGGCUUGAGUGCAGGAGAGGUUAGUGGAAUUCCCGGUGUAGCGGUAAAAUGCGUAGAGAUCGGGAGGAACACCAGUGGCGAAGGCGACUAACUGGACUGUAACUGACGCUGAGGCGCGAAAGUGUGGGGAGCAAACA